CGUUUAUCGCUGCAGGACUCUCGUCGUCUCCGUCGCAUCUGUUUUCUUUGCAUCCAUUCCAGAGCUCUCUAGUCGAAGACAUGGACGGCUUUCUUGGAAAAUUCCUUUUCGUCGUGGUUGCUGUUACACUCGCUACGCUGAUUAUGGCCACCAAUGAAGCUGGGGCUAUGCCGCUAGAGAUCAUGAAAGAAAUGGGACGAAAAGAAGAACAUUUCAAGUAGCGAAGAAUCAGUCUCUCUGACUUGCAUUCCACUGAUUGCAUCUGCUUCGUAACUGAAUAAAAUGAAUGAACGAAAAAACUGC